rnacentral:rRNA from 1 species
GCUGUGCCGCUCGAAUUAAGCAUAUCAAUAAGCGGAGGAAAAGAAACCAACAGGGAUUGCCCUAGUAACGGCGAGUGAAGCGGCAACAGCUCAAAUUUGAAAUCUGGCUCUUUCAGAGUCCGAGUUGUAAUUUGCAGAGGGCGCUUUGGCUUUGGCAGCGGUCCAAGUUCCUUGGAACAGGACGUCACAGAGGGUGAGAAUCCCGUACGUGGUCGCUAGCUAUUGCCGUGUAAAGCCCCUUCGACGAGUCGAGUUGUUUGGGAAUGCAGCUCUAAAUGGGAGGUAAAUUUCUUCUAAAGCUAAAUAUUGGCCAGAGACCGAUAGCGCACAAGUAGAGUGAUCGAAAGAUGAAAAGCACUUUGGAAAGAGAGUCAAACAGCACGUGAAAUUGUUGAAAGGGAAGCGCUUGCAGCCAGACUUGCUUGCAGUUGCUCAUCCGGGCUUUUGCCCGGUGCACUCUUCUGCAGGCAGGCCAGCAUCAGUUUGGGCGGUGGGAUAAAGGUCUCUGUCAUGUACCUCUCUUCGGGGAGGCCUUAUAGGGGAGGCGACAUACCACCAGCCUAGACUGAGGUCCGCGCAUCUGCUAGGAUGCUGGCGUAAUGGCUGUAAGCGGCCCGUCUUGAAACACGGACCAAGGAGUCUAACAUCUAUGCGAGUGUUUGGGUGUCAAGCCCGAGCGCGUAAUGAAAGUGAACGGAGGUGGGAACCCGCAAGGGUGCACCAUCGACCGAUCCUGAAGUUUACGGAAGGAUUUGAGUAAGAGCAUGGCUGUUGGGACCCGAAAGAUGGUGAACUAUGCUUGAAUAGGGUGAAGCCAGAGGAAACGCUGGUGGAGGCUCGCAGCGGUUCUGACGUGCAAAUCGAUCGUCAAAUUUGGGCAUAGGGGCGAAAGACUAAUCG